rnacentral:rRNA from 1 species
AUUGAACGCUGGCGGCAUGCCUUACACAUGCAAGUCGAACGGUAACAGGUUAAGCUGACGAGUGGCGAACGGGUGAGUAAUGUAUCGGAACGUGCCCAGUCGCGGGGGAUAACUGCUCGAAAGAGCAGCUAAUACCGCAUACGACCUGAGGGUGAAAGCGGGGGAUCGCAAGACCUCGCGCGAUUGGAGCGGCCGAUAUCAGAUUAGGUAGUUGGUGAGGUAAAGGCUCACCAAGCCGACGAUCUGUAGCUGGUCUGAGAGGACGACCAGCCACACUGGGACUGAGACACGGCCCAGACUCCUACGGGAGGCAGCAGUGGGGAAUUUUGGACAAUGGGCGUAAGCCUGAUCCAGCCAUGCCGCGUGCGGGAAGAAGGCCUUCGGGUUGUAAACCGCUUUUGUCAGGGAAGAAAAGGUUCUGGCUAAUACCUGGGACUCAUGACGGUACCUGAAGAAUAAGCACCGGCUAACUACGUG